rnacentral:rRNA from 1 species
GUAGCGGUGAAAUGCGUAGAUAUAUGGAGGAACACCGGUGGCGAAAGCGGCUCUCUGGUCUGUAACUGACGCUGAGGCUCGAAAGCGUGGGGAGCGAACAGGAUUAGAUACCCUGGUAGUCCACGCCGUAAACGAUGAGUGCUAGGUGUUGGACAGUGCCGCAGCUAACGCAUUAAGCACUCCGCCUGGGGAGUACGACCGCAAGGUUGAAACUCAAAGGAAUUGACGGGGGCCCGCACAAGCGGUGGAGCAUGUGGUUCAAUUCGAAGCAACGCGAAGAACCUUACCAGGUCUUGACAUCCAGGUGGUGCAUGGUUGUCGUCAGCUCGUGUCGUGAGAUGUUGGGUUAAGUCCCGCAACGAGCGCAACCCCUAUUGUUAGUUGCCACUCUAGCGAGACUGCCGGUAAUAAACCGGAGGAAGGUGGGGAUGACGUCAAAUCAUCAUGCCCCUUAUGACCUGGGCUACACACGUGCUACAAUGGUUGGUACAACGAGUUGCGAGUCGGUGACGGCAAGCUAAUCUCUUAAAGCCAAUCUCAGUUCGGAUUGUAGGCUGCAACUCGCCUA